UCGGGAAUUUUGGGCAAUGGGCGAAAGCCUGACCCAGCAACGCCGCGUGAGGGAUGAAGUAUUUCGGUAUGUAAACAUCGAAAGAAUGGGAAGAAUAAAUGACGGUACCAUUUAUAAGCUCCGGCUAACUACGUGCCAGCAGCCGCGGUAAUACGUAGGGAGCAAGCGUUGUUCGGAUUUACUGGGCGUAAAGGGCGCGUAGGCGGCGCGGUAAGUCACUUGUGAAAUCUCUGAGCUUAACUCAGAACGGCCAAGUGAUACUGCUGUGCUAGAGUGCGGAAGAGGCAACCGGAAUUCUUGGUGUAGCGGUGAAAUGCGUAGAUAUCAAAAGGAACACCUGAGGCGAAGGCGGGUUGCUGGGCCGACACUGACGCUGAUGCGCGAAAGCCAGGGGAGCAAACG
rnacentral:rRNA from 1 species